CCUACGGGUGGCUGCAGUAGGGAAUAUUGCUCAAUGGGGGAAACCCUGAAGCAGCAACGCCGCGUGGAGGAUGAAGGUUUUCGGAUUGUAAACUCCUUUUUUUAGAGAAGUUAAUGACGGUAUCUAACGAAUAAGCACCGUCUAACUCCGUGCCAGCAGCCGCGGUCAUACGGAGGGUGCAAGCGUUACUCGGAAUCACUGGGCGUAAAGGGCGCGUAGGCGGGAUAGCAAGUCAGAUGUGAAAUCCUAUGGCUUAACCAUAGAACUGCAUUUGAAACUGUUGUUCUUGAGUGUGGGAGAGGUAGGUGGAAUGCUUGGUGUAGGGGUAAAAUGCGUAGAGAUCAAGAGGAAUACUCAUUGCGAAGGCGACCUGCUAGAACAUAACUGACGCUGAUGCGCGAAAGCGUGGGGAGCAAACAGGAUUAGAUACCCCGGUAGUC
rnacentral:rRNA from 1 species